rfam:Camelus ferus unplaced genomic scaffold scaffold16594, whole genome shotgun sequence.
GAAGGUACAGCUCAGUGGUAGCGCGUGCUUAUCACGCACGAGGUCCUGGGUUCAACCCCCAGUACCUCCA